rnacentral:lncRNA from 1 species
GUAAUUCCUGAACCACAUUUGGUCCUUGAGAGACGACCUAGGAGUCACUUCCUAGUCUAUACUGCAUUCUUUUAUGCACAUUAAAUUUUGUAUGGGGUGCGACACUCAUAAUUUUCCUCACUAGAAAUGAAACGAAAGUAAAAGAGGCAAAAUACAAGCCCAUGAAACCUACACUAUUCUUUUUUAUUCUUUUUGUCACUCUAAAAGCUCUUCAA